rnacentral:sRNA from 1 species
CCUCUUCAAUUUGCUGCGGACAAAUAAAGUGGAUAUGAGUAUCAAUACCACCCGCCGUCACCAUCAUUCCUUCGCCAGCAAUAAUUUCGGUACCAGGGCCAAUGACAGAAGUAAUCCCCGGUUGAAUAUCUGGGUUACCAGCCUUACCAAUAUUAGAUAUUCUGCCAUUUUUAAUAGAGAUAUCAGCUUUGAUAAUGCCCCAGUGAUCAAUGAUUACCGCAUUGGUAAUAACAGUAUCGGCACAGUCCUUUGACUCGCGUUGACUUUGGCCCAUACCAUCACG